GACUCAUACAAAAUACAAAGAAUGCCAUCGUGAUUAUGCGUGGCGAUAUUGCGGGCUACUCGAUUAUGAAGAAUCAAAUCUGUAUCGACGAGUAUGACCGAUCUAAACCUCAAGAAGAGAGACUCUAGACUGAUGCCGGAGAUGGAUAAUCCAGAUGUUACCUUGCUGCUGACCACAAUAUUCAGAUAUAUUUUUAUCACACAUUUAUAUGUCAAUGUGCGGUUUUCCUGCCUUUACUAAUUAAGUAUUUGACAAAAUAGUGCUACACCACGUUGCACACCCUGUUAACGUAUGUGGUUAAAUAAAACUGAAUAGCUGACUGAGGUUUGGCUUUUAACA